rnacentral:rRNA from 1 species
UACGAAGGGUGCAAGCGUUAAUCGGAAUUACUGGGCGUAAAGCGUGCGCAGGCGGUUCGUUGUGUCGGCGGUGAAAGCCCCGGGCUUAACCUGGGAAUGGCCGUCGAAACUGGCGAACUGGAGUGUGGCAGAGGGGGGUGGAAUUCCGCGUGUAGCAGUGAAAUGCGUAGAGAUGCGGAGGAACACCGAUGGCGAAGGCAGCCCCCUGGGCUGACACUGACGCUCAGGCCCGAAAGCGUGGGGAGCAAACAGG